ACCUACGGGAGGCAGCAGUAGGGAAUUUUCGUCAAUGGGCGCAAGCCUGAACGAGCAAUGCCGCGUGAACGAGGAAGGUCUUCGGAUCGUAAAGUUCUGUUGAAGGGGAAAGAGCGGAGAGAGGAAAUGGUCUCCGAUUGAUAUUACCCUUCGAGGAAGUCACGGCUAACUACGUGCCAGCAGCCGCGGUAAUACGUAGGUGGCGAGCGUUAUCCGGAAUGAUUGGGCGUAAAGGGUGCGUAGGCGGCCUGCUAAGUCUGGAGUGAAAGGUACCGGCUCAACCGGUACAGGCUCUGGAAACUGGG
rnacentral:rRNA from 1 species